rnacentral:rRNA from 1 species
CAGAUGGACCCGCGGCGCAUUAGCUAGUUGGUGAGGUAAUGGCUCACCAAGGCAACGAUACGUAGCCGACCUGAGAGGGUGAUCGGCCACACUGGAACUGAGACACGGUCCAGACUCCUACGGGAGGCAGCAGUAGGGAAUCUUCCGCAAUGGGCGAAAGCCUGACGGAGCAACGCCGCGUGAGUGAAGAAGGUUUUCGGAUCGUAAAGCUCUGUUGUUAGAGAAGAACAAGUGCUUGAGUAACUGUUAGCACCUUGACGGUAU